UACGGGGGGAGCAAGCGUUGUUCGGAUUUACUGGGCGUAAAGGGCGCGUAGGCGGUCGUGACAAGUCACUUGUGAAAUCUCCGGGCUUAACCCGGAAAGGUCAACUGAUACUGUGCGACUAGAGUGCGGAAGGGGCAACUGGAAUUCUCGGUGUAGCGGUGAAAUGCGUAGAUAUCGAGAGGAACACCUGCGGCGAAGGCGGGUUGCUGGGCCGACACUGACGCUGAUGCGCGAAAGCCAGGGGAGCGAACGGG
rnacentral:rRNA from 1 species